rnacentral:rRNA from 1 species
AGACAUGCAAGUCGAGCGUACGUACACUGGCCUUGGCUCCUUGGUCAUUCCAAGGUGACGAACAACAAGGACUUUCCAUCGCGCGAAAGGCUGGGGUAAAACUCGAACGCAUCCUUGCGCUGUGUAAUGCGCUUAACGGUUCCACUUGCCAUGUUCCUGGCGUACAGGUAGCCCAAUGCGGAAUAAAUCACCGGUCGCCUUAGCGCCACCUGCAGCCAACGCAGUUGCUUCACGUCAAUUGGUCCGGGGCUACUGGCACGUCAUACGCAACGCCUUGGGCACUUCACGCGUAUCUUUGACGUGGAAAGGAAUUUCAGUCGCGGCAUUUUUGAACGGAUUCACCCGCCAGAUCUUGGCCUGCGCCCACACACCAUUUCUUUGGAAACUGGCAUCCAUGCCAUGGACGGGUACACACCGUGCACGGAACAAGCUUCCUGCAGGUCGCGCUCCAAGCCGUCCAAGCUGGAAAAUCACGCCCCGUUUGCAGAUCUUUCAAAACACGUGCUCUGGUUGCGCACACACCGCCGUAGGGAUCCUCUAAAUCAACUGCA